GGAAUAUUGGACAAUGGGCGAGAGCCUGAUCCAGCCAUGCCGCGUGCAGGAAGAAUGCCCUCUGGGUUGUAAACUGCUUUUAUACAAGAAGAAACGAUUGCUUGCGAGCGAUUCUGACGGUAUUGUAUGAAUAAGCACCGGCUAACUCCGUGCCAGCAGCCGCGGUAAUACGGAGGGUGCAAGCGUUAUCCGGAUUUACUGGGUUUAAAGGGUACGUAGGCGGAUUUGUAAGUCAGUGGUGAAAGCCUGCAGCUCAACUGUGGAAUUGCCAUUGAAACUGUGAAUCUAGAGUAUAGAGGAAGUAAGCGGAAUAAGUCAUGUAGCGGUGAAAUGCAUAGAUAUGACUUAGAACACCGAAAGCGAAGGCAGCUUACUGUUCUAUAACUGACGCUGAGGUACGAAAGCGUGGGUAGCGAACAGGAUUAGAAACCCCGGUAGUCC
rnacentral:rRNA from 1 species